rnacentral:ncRNA from 1 species
AUAAAUGCGUUGACGGGAAAAAAACGAAGUGUUUUCUGCUUACAGAGAGCCGCCGGGUGGUGCAAGGCGGUGCGGAGAGCUUCGGCUACUGGCCCCUGAGCGGCAAAGCUGAAAUCGCAGUAGGCUUUGACGGAUGCCCACCGUUACCGGGGCAGCGAUUCGCCGCCAAAAGCCGAUCGUGUCGAGUGGCUGGCUCUGCCAGCAAAGAGAGUGGUACCACGGGUGCCCUGUAGUUUGAACUUACAGGCUCUCGUCUCUCAA